ensembl:lncRNA
AGCGGCGAACGAAGAGGGAAAAGCCCCGCGGUCUUUGUUCAAAAGCAUUUCCUUUUUCUUUCCUUUUCUUUAAGUUAAGGGACAUGUAAACUUCUAUAGAAAACUACACCCACACAUGAUGUCGGGUCAAUAGCUCCACAAUCACGCUUUUUCUCUUGAGAAAUCAAAGAAAAAGAAGGAAGACGUUAAGAAAGCAAAGCAGAAGAAGCCUGGCCAGAAGGAAUCUCAGAAGGAGAGACGCGCGGGAGUCGACGAGCAACCUGCUCCUCCUAUGGUGAAGAAGCCCCCAACACGGGAGCCCAUGUCCAGUGAGAGCCGAGGCGGAGCAGUGGAGGGUCAAAGGGCCCCAAGAAGGAAUGCGUUUGAGGAGCGACCGUAUGAGCCAGAACAGUACUACCAGGAAAACUUCGGCCCCAAGGCCGACCUAUUCUCAAACUUUAAAUGGGCAAAGACCACUUUAUCAAAUCCCAAUGGGAGCGUCUGGAUCCGCUGCUAAACCACCACAGGAAGACAAAUGAUACGAGACUAAAACACUACUUUGUCCACCUUUCAACUACAAAAUACUCCCAAGAAACCACAGAUUGUUUUUUGUCUCGGACUCAAACUCACGAUCACGGGGCAUGCACCUUACCAAUAGACGAGGUUGUGUAAACAAACAUUAAAAAAAAAAGGAAAAAUAAACUUGAAUACAAACUGAAAAGAAGAACCAUUUCUCUUUGAGUCCCGAACCUUCCCCGUACGGCAAUAGAUUAUCAUCAUGUCCAAUGCCAAUUUUAGGGAAAUCAAAAGAUGAAUAUAACCCUAACCCUAACCCCAUCGCCGAGAACAGCUCAAUGGGACCCUUGCACGUGUUUCAAAUGUAAUCUGGUCACCCAGAGAACAAAGAUCACGGCCGACCAUCGCAAUACGACCGCGGGUGCGACCACCAGUGCAUCGAAGCAGAACACACAGGACAUCAUCGGCUACAAACAGCUUAACGCGACCAAGUGUUUCCCAGGCUACGAUAUGGAGAGGACCCGCAUCAAGGUGAUGAUGAUGCGGGUUGAUGUUGUUGAUGACUAUGAUGUUCCAGUGUUUGCUAAAGAUAAAAAAGAGUACUUUUACCUUGCUCUGUUGAAUUGCACAUGUUUUUAUGUUGUGAUUUAGAUGUUAGCGACAGUAGGAUAGGACGGAUGAAGAUGUGAUGGUUUGAUUAGGGAGAUGUUUAGUUGCAGAUAAAGGUAAAGUCAACUACUGUUUAACUCGCUGGCAGUUAAAUCAACCUAUCCUGGCAGUUAAAUCAACUUUUUCUUUGUAAACAACUGACUCCGUAUUGUCUUGAGGGGAGAAUCGACCAACGUGGAUACAUCAUUAAUCAAAAUCUGGAUUUAGCAAAACAAAAUGAACACUUUGACUGCAGGCAAACACAACGCAGAUUCAACCGGUCACACUUCUAUAAAUCUAUAAAUGCCCGUAAAACAAAGAAAGCCUUGUGUCCGUUGUGGCAACCCGGCCCAGGCCAAUUAAGGAUAUUGAGAGCACCUGAAGAGACAGACUCUGAGGAGAAGUAGGGCUUAUCUUCUUAUCAUCUUCCUCGUCACAGAGCCGAGGAAGAUGUACUUUUUCAAUCAGUGUAUCUGUGCCACUUUAAUUGCCAUCUAAGACUAAAUACUGGCCUGUCCUUUGUGGCUCCAGCCUUCAUGAGGAGAGAGAAGUCCGGCCAGGUGAGAGUCUGCUCACCUGAAGAGACAGACUCUGAGGAGGAGCAGCUCUGGACCUCUGGAUUGACCGGACACCUGGAUGGCGCUCCGGUUCCUUCCAGGACACCUGGAUGGCGCCGGGCGACAACGCCUAGGCCCGCACCAUUGUGGGGGCCCCGGGGAGCCCGUCGGCCCACAGCACGGUGAGGCGGGCGCUGGCCUGCGCGGAGCCGGCGCUGUUCUCGGCGAUGCACUGGUAGUCGCUGCCGCGGUCGUAUUGCGAUGGUCCCACCUGCCAAUCUCUGAGUCGAAGUUCUACAAACAAAGAAAAAGAGGGGCAUUUACAAACAAGAAUGUGUUUGCAUUGAAUGUGUGUAACGGAAGCAAAAUGCACCAAAUUGACCAAUUCCUUAUCAUGUGUUUUUGAUACUCACGUAUGUGGCCACGGCUGAACGGAUGUCCGUCAAGCUUGGGGACCCGGGGAGGCCCAUCUCCCCCCAAGCUUGGAGGAGGGACGACAACACCUGAGGCCGAUCAGACACUUGUUAACUCUCUGGGAAGGAAGGCCACACCACAACCAAUCUCGGAAUACGACCUCAGAUCAGACGAGACAACCCGCUGAACUUAAGCAUAUCAGUAAGCGGAGGAAAAUAAAUGCUGGAAAAGGGAACCCUGGUGUCCUGGUUACGGGGGACGAUGGCUCCACGCUGCUACAGGUUGUUGGUUCUUGGUUCUUUUUGAUGGCUUCCUUUUACACUCAACAGCAGCACACACAUCUCACUCAUCCAUGCACUACAUUCACCACUGAUGCCACUACUCUCCACACCUCAUGCUAUUGGUAAAUAUGAUUGUUUAAGUUAUAAUAAAACCUUUUCAUUUAUCACUUUCAACCUGACUUGUCUCCCCUCCUUGUCACAUAUGCUGAG